rnacentral:rRNA from 1 species
CACGUAGGAUCCGAGCGUUAUCCGAAUUUACUGGGCGUAAAGCGCGUGCAGGCGGUUUGGUAAGUUGGAUGUGAAAGCUCCUGGCUCAACUAGGAGAGGCCGUUCAAAACUACCAGACUAGAGGGCGGUAGAGGGAGGUGGAAUUCCGGGUGUAGUGGUGAAAUGCGUAGAUAUCCGGAGGAACACCAGUGGCGAAAGCGACCUCCUGGACCGUACCUGACGCUCAGACGCGAAAGCUAGGGGAGCGAACGGG